rnacentral:rRNA from 1 species
UAUCGGGGUGGGACUAAAACAUGCGAGUCGAGCGCCUUCAAGCUAUGGUGAAGGCGCGGCGAACGGCUCAGUAACACGUGGCUAACCUACCCUUAGGACGGGGACAACCCCGGGAAACUGGGGCUAAUACCCGAUAGGUGAGGAGGCCUGGAAUGGUUCUUCACUGGAAAGGCGUUGAAACCAUGUUUUUUAACGUCGCCUAAGGAUGGGGCCGCGCCCGAUCAGGUUGUUGGUGAGGUAACGGCUCACCAAGCCUAUAACCGGUACGGGCCGUGAGAGCGGGAGCCCGGAGAUGGGCACUGAGACAAGGGCCCAGGCCCUACGGGGCGCAGCAGUUGCGAAAACUCCGCAAUGCGCGAAAGCGUGACGGGGCUACCCCGAGUGCCGUCCGCUGAGGACGGCUUUUCCACGGUGUAAGGAGCCGUGGGAAUAAGGAGAGGGCAAGACUGGUGUCAGCCGCCGCGGUAAUACCAGCUCUCCGAGUGGUGGGGACGAUUAUUGGGCUUAAAGCGUUCGUAGCCGGUCCGGCAAGUCUUCCGUUAAAUCCAGCGAUCUAAUCGUUGGACUGCGGGAGAUACUACUAGGCUAGGAGGCGGGAGAGGCCGACGGUAUUUCCGGGGUAGGGGUGAAAUCCUAUAAUCCCGGGAGGACCACCAGUGGCGAAGGCUGUCGGCUAGAACGCGCUCGACGGUGAGGGACGAAAGCUGGGGGAGCGAACCGGAUUAGAUACCCGGGUAGUCCCAGCUGUAAACGAUGCGGGCUAGGUGUUGAGGUGGCUACGAGCCACUUCAGUGCCGCACGGAAGCAAUUAAGCCCGCCGCCUGGGGAGUACGGCCGCAAGGCUGAAACUUAAAGGAAUUGGCGGGGGAGCACCACAAGGCGUGAAGCUUGCGGUUU